UACGUAGGGUGCAAGCGUUGUCCGGAAUUAUUGGGCGUAAAGAGCUUGUAGGCGGUCUGUCACGUCGGCUGUGAAAACCCGAGGCUCAACCUCGGGCCUGCAGUCGAUACGGGCAAACUAGAGUACUGCAGGGGAGACUGGAAUUCCUGGUGUAGCGGUGAAAUGCGCAGAUAUCAGGAGGAACACCGGUGGCGAAGGCGGGUCUCUGGGCAGUAACUGACGCUGAGGAGCGAAAGCGUGGGGAGCGAACAGG
rnacentral:rRNA from 1 species